rnacentral:rRNA from 1 species
GACGAACGCUGGCGGCGUGCUUAACACAUGCAAGUCGAGCGGACAGGUGAUGAGCUUGUGGGGCGGUCGAGAGGCGAGGGGGUGAGAGAAACGUGAGUAUACUGCCCUUGUAAUAGGGAGAAAUCCAGGAAACUGGGGCUAAUACCGCAGAUGAGAUAUUGCAGCAUGGGGGGGGAUAGAAAGAUACGGCUGUUGGGGAACGAAUCGAGGGAUACGCGCCGCAUUAGGUGGUUGGUGCGGUAACGGCUUAUCAAGGGAACGAUGCGUAGCCGAACUGAGGGGGGGAUCGCCCACACUGGAACUGAGACACGGUCCAGACUCCUACGGGAGGCAGCAGUAGGGAAUCUUCCGCAAUGGGCGAAAGCCUGACGGAGCAACGCCGCGUGAGUGAUGAAGGUCUUCGGAUCGUAAAACUCUGUUAUUAGGGAAGAACAAAUGUGUAAGUAACUAUGCACGUCUUGACGGUACCUAAUCAGAAAGCCACGGCUAACUACGUG